rnacentral:snRNA from 1 species
CAAAUACAGCUAUGAUUAGCAUGGCCCCUGUGCAAGGAUGAUGUGCAAAUUCAUGAAGCAUGCCAUAUUUUU